GCUGAGUGCGUAAGGAAUUAAUGCGCUAGACACAGUGCUGCAUAUGGACACCAUAAGUAAUGUGUACAUUUGAGCGAGGUGAGCAUAGGAGGACGUGGUUGUACGCAGGUCAAUGCAAGUAGAAAUGCAUUUUGAAUGCACAAUGAAUGUGGCAGGUGGCUGGGUAUUUCACAGGUGCUUGUGGCAUGUGGUUCACGAGAAGACCAUGUGGGAGCACGUUGGUGUUUGG
rnacentral:lncRNA from 1 species